UAGGCUGCAACUCGCCUACACGAAGUCGGAAUCGCUAGUAAUCGCGGAUCAGCAUGCCGCGGUGAAUACGUUCCGGGCCUUGUACACACCGCCCGUCACACCAUGGGAGUUUGUAACGCCCAAAGUCGGUGGCCUAACCUUUAUGGAGGGAGCCGCCUAAGGCGGGACAGAUGACUGGGGUGAAGUCGUAACAAGGUAGC
rnacentral:rRNA from 1 species